AACGAACGCUGGCGGCAUGCCUAACACAUGCAAGUCGAACGAGACCUUCGGGUCUAGUGGCGCACGGGUGCGUAACGCGUGGGAACCUGCCCUUAGGUUCGGAAUAACUCCCCGAAAGGGGUGCUAAUACCGGAUAAUGUCUUCGGACCAAAGAUUUAUCGCCUUUGGAUGGGCCCGCGUUGGAUUAGCUAGUUGGUAGAGUAAAAGCCUACCAAGGCGACGAUCCAUAGCUGGUCUGAGAGGAUGAUCAGCCACACUGGGACUGAGACACGGCCCAGACUCCUACGGGAGGCAGCAGUGGGGAAUAUUGGACAAUGGGCGAAAGCCUGAUCCAGCAAUGCCGCGUGAGUGAUGAAGGCCUUAGGGUUGUAAAGCUCUUUUACCCGGGAUGAUAAUGACAGUACCGGGAGAGUAAGCGCCGGCUAACUCCGUG
rnacentral:rRNA from 1 species